AAUGGAGUGACCCUCAAGUCAUGCUGCAAGCGUGUCUGAACCCUAAACGCUUGCCCACUUCCUGUGACUGCUGUGGAGAGAUGUGCAGCGAAAGUUUGAUGGAGCUUCUUCUGCAGAACUUCGCCGGUGCCACCGGGUGCCCCGAACUUCUCUACAAUGGCCUUGGUUUUGCGGAACUGCUCCUCCUUCACCAAGUGCUGCACGCAUUUUAGGUGCUCUUACCCGAUGAUGAUGGACCUUUUUGAAGUGUUUAUUAAUGGAGCUGUAGCAUGACAGCAUGGUGAGUGCUGGGAAGGUCAAGUAGAGCAGCACCAGGGUGAGCAUGAAGGUGACAAAGUCCCUAAAGAAAAUAUACAGUAACAUACUGUUGGUAAACUUUUGUUCUCUGUGUUUUUAUUUUUGUUUUGUCUCCCGCACCGGUCUCCUCUGGUGUAGUCCAGAGUGCAGCAGGUCCUCAUGGGCUCAAAGUCGUACACACCCCAGCCCAUGAGAGGAACAGCCGCCCAGAAGAUCGAGAGGAUCCAGAUAAUAGUGCUCAUUACCAAGGCUGUGCUCCAGAAGAGCUUUUGCCCUUUGAAGAGACGAAGAAGCAGAAAUUUUUAUUAUUUUUCUUUUCCGACAGAAAAAUAGCUGGACUCCAAAUAUGUUUAGAAUUUUUUUCUCAUUUAAUUUUUUUAAAUGAAAUUGCUGUUACUGGUAUUUUAUUCACUGAA